CCUACGGGUGGCAGCAGUGGGGAAUAUUGGACAAUGGGGGAAACCCUGAUCCAGCGACGCCGCGUGAGUGAAGAAGUAUUUCGGUAUGUAAAGCUCUAUCAGCAGGGAAGAAAAUGACGGUACCUGACUAAGAAGCCCCGGCUAACUACGUGCCAGCAGCCGCGGUAAUACGUAGGGGGCAAGCGUUAUCCGGAUUUACUGGGUGUAAAGGGAGCGUAGACGGCAGCGCAAGUCUGGAGUGAAAUGCCGGGGCACAACCCCGGAACUGCUCUGGAAACUGUGAAGCUGGAGUGCAGGAGAGGUAAGCGGAAUUCCUGGUGUAGCGGUGAAAUGCGUAGAUAUCAGGAGGAACACCGGCGGCGAAGGCGGCUUACUGGACUGUAACUGACGUUGAGGCUCGAAGGCGUGGGGAGCAAACAGGAUUAGAUACCCUUGUAGUC
rnacentral:rRNA from 1 species